rnacentral:rRNA from 1 species
UCCAGACUCCUACGGGAGGCAGCAGUGAGGAAUAUUGGUCAAUGGCCGAAGGGCUGAACCAGCCAAGCCGCGUGAAGGAAUAAGGCCCUACGGGUCGUAAACUUCUUUAGUCAGGGAACAAAGGGAGCCACGCGUGGCGCUGUGAGUGUACCUGAAGAAUAAGCAUCGGCUAACUCCGUGCCAGCAGCCGCGGUAAUACGGAGGAUGCGAGCGUUAUCCGGAUUUAUUGGGUUUAAAGGGUGCGUAGGCGGGCAUUUAAGCCGGCGGUCAAAUGUCGGGGCUCAACCCCGGCCUGCCGUCGGAACUGGGUGCCUUGAGUGGGCGAGAAGUAUGCGGAAUGCGUGGUGUAGCGGUGAAAUGCAUAGAUAUCACGCAGAACCCCGAUUGCGAAGGCAGCAUACCGGCGCCCUACUGACGCUGAGGCACGAAAGUGCGGGUAUCGAACAGGAUUAGAUACCCCCGUAA